rnacentral:rRNA from 1 species
GACGAACCGUGCGAACGUUGUUCGGAAUCACUGGGCUUAAAGGGUGCGUAGGCGGGCUGCCAAGUCAGGGUGAAAUCGUUCGGCCCAACCGGACAAGGGCCCCUGAUACUGGUGCCUCGAGGAGGUAGGGUCGAUGGAACUCCGGUGGAGCGGUGAAUGCGUAGAUAUCGGAAGGACGCCGGUGGCGAAAGCGAUCGACUGGACCUCUUCUGACGCUGAGGCACGAAGC